CCAAUCCACAAAAUCUAAUCAAGACAAUUCCUUCGAUUACAAUUCUUCUCCACUAAAUUUUCAACCUUGCGAUAAAUAGUGACUGAAAACUUCCAUACGACCUCAAUCUUUUACAACAAUUGAUAAAUAGUGAUCCAUAAACAACUUUGUAAAUCAAACAUUAAUUCAUUAAAUCGAUUCUCUUUACUAGAAUCAACACUAACACAAAAAAAACAAGAAAACUAAAAAGAAGAGAUAGCACCAAGCUUAUCUCCGGCUCAGUACUAUCGCAGUCUGGCCCUCGGCUUACGACUCUCAUAGUCUGGAAUUUUCUUCCCCUCUCCCAUCCUCCUUAUACUACCUCGAGAUACCAACUCCUAUACUACAGAUAAUAACUACUUUUCCUGACUAUUCAUCCAUUCUACCUGCUGAACCACCUUUUCAGCAGUUAUCUAUCCCUGUUUAUACUAUAUACUAGGUAUCUACAUUCUGAAAAUAACUACUUAUUCUACAUAGCCCCAUUCCUAACUGUGUAACGUCCUUGCAAAUACUCAAUUGAUACCUAUCUAAAAAUUAUCUAAAAAAACUCUAUAAAAAUUGUGAUCCAUGUGCCCUAUCUAAUUAAUCAAUUGCCGUAGUAUCUGUUAUUGGUUCCACCAAUUCCGGUUCCAACUGCAAAUCUUCGUCCUCUUCCAAUCCUUCCAUUGGCUCCUACCUCAACUGAGCUGAAAGGUCUUCAUUGUACUUGCCUAAUUCACGGACUUGAGCUUCCAAUUUCAAGAUCUGGGCAUCUCUCAAUUCCAACUAGCGCUGAAAGUGACUCCUCUCUUCUGGAACUUUGGGAACUGGCAACGUCAAUACUUGUGUUUGACCAAUAUUGACUAAAUCCUCUACCAAUCUUGUCACCUUGGAGUUCAAGGCCUCAAUUUCAGCCCUUAACUGCUCCAUUUCACAUCUCUAUUGGUCACUCAAAACCAAUUUUUCUUGUGCCAAUAACUCGGUCUUUUCUCGUUCCAUUACCAACUGACCCUUCACUUUUUCUAAUUCCAAAAUUGAAUGACUGCGAGCUCGGAAUAGUUCUUGCCUGAGGGUCUCCACCAUGCGCUCUCUUUUUUUGUCCCAAGCUUCAUGUUGUUCUCCAAUUUGUCACUCCAAUAGCAGCUUGGAUUUAACAUUCGCCUGGAUGAUCUGUUCUUGCUCUUCAAUUCUUCGUGUUUGCUCCGAUAUCACCUUUUUGCUUGCCUCUAAUUCCAGUUUAUCACUACCCUCUACAUCCAAUGCUCGUACCAUGCAAUGUAUUUACGAAAUGUACUUCAAUAAAGAAUUUUUAAGAUGUACGCCUUUCGACAAUCGGCCCUGUGGAAACGCUAAUUGAUUGAUAUCUAACAAAGUCGGGACUUCAUUCUCGUCGUCCACCACCGAACAAAUCGGAUCCGUUUUCGGUGCCACUAGACGACUGGAUUCCCCAAUUUUAUGUAUUACCUCUAUUGUAUUGAUAUUCUGUGCGACGAAUUUUGUUCUCACUGGGGAGGCACUGGCAUUGAUUCAGAACUUCCCUCUACUGGCGAUGUUUGCCACAAUAUGUACGCGAUCACAGCAUACACAUAAUUGGAACAUAUCAACGCUGUAAACUUUCCUAUUUUGUGCUUGGCUCCUAUUUUCGCAUGAAUACGGGUUGCUACAUAAGCUGUCCAAUUGAACACCAUCCCUUCAAAUGUCCCUACCGCUGCAAACAUUAACCGUCUUGACAUAUAUGUGUUGUGUCGAUACAACCCUAGACGCCUCAGCACGAAGCGAAACCAUUCUAUGAGCUCUGGUGUAAUUGCCUCAGCCGUCCCCCAACCUUAGUUCUUCUCAAAUGAUGACAUGCCACUUUUGAAAUAACUUCCUGGUCGGAAGUCACUGGACUCCUCAACACCCACCGCAAUCUCUCCAACUGGAAGAAACAAUACUUUUUUGAGGAUCUUCUCAUCAAUAUCGAUAAUGUGCCCUUGUACUAUGCUCGAUCUAUCAUGUGGGUCAUAGUUCGCGAUGUAUUCUUCCACUAAUGCCACAUUCAUUGAAGGCAAACUAUUUGACCUUCGCAAAAAUUGAAACAUUUGCGCGUUUCAAAAAUCUCGUAUUCACCUUGGCGUCUAGCAAAUCUCCAGCUUCAUAGGCUCCAUAUUAGUAACGAUUACUACAGAUGGUGGUCCUAAAUUGUAUUUAGCUUUCACAUUUCGGCCACUUUUUUCUCUGUCCGUAGCUCUCUUUGUACUCUCAAUCACCAUAAAGCACACUCUUUCAAGCUCUAACCGUCAAUACUACGCUCCAGUACUCCAAAACAUCCGAAAUUGUAACACCAAAAAGAAACAAUAACAGAAUGUGACAAUUGAGAAUGAUCGUAAAUAGGUGCCCCUUUCCUAUUCUUUUACCUAGUCGUGAUAACGACAAUAUGUUACCCCUACUGUCCGUUUCUCAUCCCCGUCCCAUCUGACACAUUAGUAAUUAAUAACUAUCCCUUCAGCCACCUCUAUACCCUAACGUACUUAAUUAGGUCUAUCCUAAGUACAUUCGACAUGACCUCCUCCAGAAAUUGAAAACCCGUCCCAGGUUUUACGUAUGAUAUAAUCGUAAUCGGUUCCCAUUAAUGCGGGUAUUGAAUCGAUGACCCAUGAAAUCCUCCAAUUGAAUAGACCCAUUGGAAAACCCUUCAAUCACACGAUAUGGCCCAUGCCAGCAAACUUGAAAUUUGCCUGAAAAAUGAUUAAACCUGCUAUCAAACAACAAUACCAAAUCAUUGGGCAUAAAACUCUUCGGACGCAGUUUACUAUCAUAGUAACUCUUCCACCAUUUUUGAGUUGCUUCCAUGUUGAAGAGAGCUGUAGCCCGUAUUUCAUCCAAUUUGUCUAAUUCAGCCAACCGAUAUUGAAGUGAUUCCUUAUCUCCAAGACAUUCAUCUAACGCAAUGCGCAAACUCUGAACUUCCAAUUCAAUGGAUAAUAUUACUUCUUGCCCAUACACCAAUUAGAAUGGUGUGGAAUUGGUAGUCACUUUAUAUGCAUUACGAUACAUCCACAAUGCCGCAAAUAAUUUAGUAUCCCAAUCCGUUCUCGUGUCCAAAAUUGUUUUGGUUAAAAUCUUAUAUAGAAUACCAUUGGUCUUUUCUGUCUGUCCAUUGGCCCGAGGAUGAUAUGGUGUUGUUUUCCUGUGCUUAAUUUUGUAUGUGUUCAUCAAGGCUGCUAUGGUAGAAUUUAUGAAAUGGGUGCCGCGAUCGCUAACCAAUUCCUUUGGACACCCAAAUCGAGUAAUAAUAUUCUCAUAUAGAAAUGUGGCCAUUGUACUGGCAUUAUCAUUGUGGAUAGCAAUAGCCUCCACCCAUUUGGUUACAUAGUCCGUGGCGACUAAAAUAUACCGCUUUUGUCCAUGUCUCGAUGUUGGUGCAAUGGGUCCAACAAAAUCAAUUCUCCAUUUUUCAAAUGGUGCUUGUGCCAAGAUUGGUAGUAACGGCAUCGCUGAAGUACCCGUGGGUCAACCUAUUCGUUGACAGGGAUCACAACGACAAACAAAUUGGUGUGCAUCAAAAAACAUUGUGGGCCACCAAUAUUUGGCCAUUAAAGCCUUGCGAGAAGUAUUGUCUCCCGUAAAAUAUCCACGACAACUAUCCAAAUGACAUCCUUCCAAAAUUGUAUGAACUUCACUUUGAAAGAUGCAAUGACGUAAAAUUCCAUCCCGCCUUUGUUUGUACAAGGCAUCUCCAAUCAUGGUGUAUGACGCACUUUUUAAAAUCAGACGCUUCUUUAGUUUUUCAUUAUAAGAAAUGGAAAAAGUCUGAAACAUUAGAUAUUGGAUCAAUUCACCAUAUUCGGGUGUAAUGACAUCCACAGCGAAUAGUUGUGCAUCCAGAAGAGCAUCGUUUAUCGGCUCAUUACCUAAUAUAUUAGAUAAACGGGAUAAGUGAUCCGCAUUGGCAUGUUUCUUGCCGGGUCGAACGUUAAUUGUAAAGUUGAAUUCCUGUAGAAGUAACACCCAUCGAGCAAUUUGUCUGCUCAAUUGAGGUUUAUUUAUCAUGUACUUAAGCGCAUCGUGAUCAAUGUGGAACAAAAAUGAGUAUCCAAGUAGAUAGUGGUGGAAUUUCUGUAAAGAGUAGAUGAUUCCGAGGGCCUCUCGCUUGAUAGUAUUAUAAUUUUGUUAUGCAGCAACAAAUUCUCAGCUCGCAUAAUAUAUGGGAUGAUCUAAUCUUUUUUCAUCUUUUUGACUGAGAACGGAUUCAAUAGCAACAUUGGACGCGUCCACAUAGACAUGAAACGGGUUUGUCCAACAAAGUAUUACAAGAAUUGGGACAGAUACCAAUUUUCGUUUCAAUUCGUCAAAUGCAAAAGUACAGUCUUCAGUCCAUAUUGGGCUAGACCCGUCUGACGAGGAUUUCUUUAACAAGUGGACUAACGGUUGACAGAUAACCACAAAGGAUUCAAUAAAACACCGAUAGUAGCUGACAUGGCUGAUGAAACUAUGCACGGUCGACAUUGUAUCUGGCUUUGGUAAACCCAAUAUACAAGUAACUUUAUCGGGGUCCAUAGCGAUACCUUCAACAGAGACAAUGUGUCCCAAUAGCUUUCUUGAUGGUACGCCAAAUUGACACUUCUCUAAAUUUAGAGAUAUCCCAUACUUGUCGCAUUGAUUCAAACAGUUAUCCAGGCAUGCUAGAUCUUCAGCCGUUGUGCUAAAGGUGCAGAAAUCGUCCAGAAAUAUCUCCAUUGAUAAACGUAGGUCAUCUUGAAACACUUGUAUCAUUACCCGUUGAAAAGUAGUCGGGGCAUUACAUAACCUAAAUGGCAUUACUUUAUAGGCGAAUGUGCCCCAAUCUGUGGUAAACAUAGUCUUCAACUGGUCUUCUUCGGUAAUUUUAAUUUGAUUAUACCUCAAAAAUCCGUCCAAAAAUGAAUAACAUUUAUGUCCGGCCACUACGUCCAAAAUAUUAUCUGUGAAUGGUAACGAAAAAUAGUCCUUCUUAGUAGCCGCAUUUAACUUUCGAAAAUCUUGACAUAUUCUGAUUUUUCCAUUCUUCUUUGGUACCAUCACGAUUGGCGACAUCCAUGCACUAUGUGGAACAGGAUAAAUAAAACCCACAUCGAGAAGUUUAUUCAAUUCCUCUUUCACUAAAAGGAAAUAUUUUGGAUUAAGCUGGUGUUGUCUUUGACGAACUAGCAUAACAUCCUCCUCCAGAAUAAUCUGUUGCUCACAUAUGUCGGCUGGAAUCCCUUUCAAAUCCGCAUACGACCAUGCAAAGGCAGAUUUGUGAUGGACAAAAAAUUGUUUUCAAGCAUCCAAUUCUGUACCGAUAAUACCGACAUAUAUUUUAAUUAGUUGUAGUGUUUCGUUGGUACCCAGGUUAAUAGAUUGACACACAGGGUCUUCAACAACCUUUGUUUUAAUUGUCUUCUCCUGAUCUGAAUUUCUUGUAUUAUCCGACAUAUGGGAACCACCCAAAUCUGGUGCCAAUGUGUUAACUCUAUUGAUUGCAGAAUUGUUCAUCCAUUUGGCAAUAGUAUGAUCUGAGUUAGUCGCAUCCUUCUGAUACAGUAAAUAUUCACUGGGACUUCCACAUUGGUAGACUCCUGCCUUUGCUGUUGAAGUGUUUUGUCCUACCCCAAAUUGCGAUGAACCUAUAGCAUCGUCAUCUGCCUCAAUCGAUUGACUCUCGUUGUCCGAUAUAAAUUCUGAUUCUGGCAAUUGAGAUUCUCCAUGAUAUUGUACAGGGUACAUCUGUAGAACAAUCUGGUCCCGGCCUUUUUCAAUUGUCAAUGUGCCUCGGUCCCAAUCAUUCUUAGCUUUGGCUUGAUAAAGCCAAGGUCUCCUCAAUAAAAUGGGAUACGAUAAUGUAGAACUUUGUAAUCGGAAUACAAUAUAAUCGAUUUUGUAUGUCAAUUCAACGAUUACAGUGGCAAUAUUACGUAAGAUUUUCAUUAGCUUUAUCCAACUAUGAUUUGCCAUUCGCAAGACCAAUGUCGUAGGUAGAAAUUAUUUUAGAUCCAAGUCCUCCAUUGUAUCUACGUUCAUUAAAUUCACACUGGAGCUACCAUCGACUUGUACCCCUAGAAUUAAAACGCCAUUGAUUGAUACAUCGAUUGUUGAUGCUCCCGGAUCUGGGUUUAAGCUAACUUCAUGAAUUUCUUUAGUGCGGGAUCUUCAUCAUAUUAACGCUGAAUUCAAUGUAGAUCGACAUUUCAGUGCUACAGCCAAAAGUUGCUUCAUUGUAAUUGAAGGCUGAAUAACAUCAAAAUCCCUCAGAAUGUCAUAGGGUUCCAUAUUGAGAGUAAUUUCCUAUGCUCUUUUACAUUUCAUUGGUUUCAAUUUUACUCCAUUCGGCAGCAAUUCCUUUCUAGCGAUUGGGAUUGCCGUUGAUAACUUUGGCAACUUGUCUACCACUAAAGGUUUCUUUAAUGCGUAAGAUCUUUUAUUGGGCUGUACAAAUAUUGGUACUUGGUCAAUUGGGAUCGAUCUUGAUGGUCCCGGUAAAUUGGCAUGUGGGACCGAAUUAGGUUCCUCAAUUUGUUGAGGUCUCAAUAUUGGGAUACGUCCCAAUACUGAUAUUGGUUCGUUUAGUCCCAUAGAUGGCGCUACUUGCUCUCCUGUGAUUGGUUCAUCCAUGUCUUGAAUUUGAUUCUUGUCUUUUUGUUGGCCUCUGGUAAGCACUGCGUUCACCACCUCGAUACGAUGUAUUAGUGAGUCUCAUUGAACAGGGCCUUUGUCCUCCGUCGGUUGGCUUAUUUGUAUUUGCUGAUCCCGGUUAUUAUAAUUAAAAGGUACAUUGCAUUGCUGAUAAGUGUGACCAGACUGCUUACAAUUUCCACAUAUUGGAGCAUAGUCAUCAUUGGCCCUUGGAUUAGGACAUUCACUCGCAUAAUGUCCAAUUUGUCUAUAAUAAUAAUAACGAAGUGGUCUCCUGCCAACUCCUUCAGGGAUAAUGGGUGUCUCUAUUGGUAUAUAACGGCUAGGUCUGUUCCAUGUCGGAUGAGUAAAGGAUCCUGGUUGACCCAUUGUUAGUGUAGAGUCUGGCAUUGGCUUCGUCAUGGGUGGAUAUUGAUGGUAUCCUGGUUGGUUCAUCGCCAAUCUGUGAGUAUUGGAUACACCUUCUUGGUGAAAUUCAGAGUUGAAGAAAUUAGAAUAAUUCCUGUUUUGUUUAUUCGCUCGAUUUCCAUUCCAGCCAAACCUAUUAUUCGUUUAUACUUGAUUGACAUCCCACGAAGUUGGUUGAGUCAUUAUCUGGUUACUGAGUUGUUGUUGCUUCCGUAAAUUCCAACAGUUGGUAGUAAUAUGCUUGCCCCCGCAAAAGGUACAUUGUAUAAUUAUUUGGGGUGGUGAAGGACAUUUUGUUACUAAAUGACCUUACUCCUUACAAUUGUUGCACCAGACAGUGGGACACAUAUUGGUUGGUUUAUGCCUUUUUUCUUUAUCCUUGGCCAGAUUCACAGCCAAUUCAUCCAUUUUUUUUAUCAAUGUUAACAGCAAUGAUUCAUUAGGAUUCCUUGAUACCAAUGCAUUUAGCAAUUUCUUUGUAGGUAUUGGUUUCUGAUAUGCGGAAUAAGGUGCAUACGGGUUUGAUAAUGAUGGUCGUACAGCUUGCAAUGGAACGGCAUCCACUAUUCUCUGUGGAAUUGUACCAUACUCAUUCCUUCCCAGAUAACUUUCCGAUGCGUCAUUCCAAUUUGUCAUUUGAUAAUCUCUUUGAGAUGGAAUCAUCGUGGGUCCAACUGUUAAGUUUUGGUCAUAGUGACAUUCCUCCCAUACUUUUGCUUGCUCAAGAGAUGAUGCAAUGGUGGCUGAUUGGGCCUCUUUUACAAACAUUUUCAAUUCUGGUGGGUAUAGUCCAUUAACCAAUAUGGACAACACAAAUGAUUCCGGCAUUUGGUUAUUUGGCCAUUUUCGAAGUAUAUCCUCUACACGACCAUAAUAUGACUGUACCGCUUUCUCUGGUACCAUUCUGCUAUUCUUUAAUUUUUCUCUAAGACGUUCUUCAAAACCAAUUGGUCGAAAAUGGGCUAAAAAUGUAUUUUUCAAUGCCUCCAAAUUGAUAAAUUGUCCCACAGGUUGGCGGUUAUACCACUCAAAUGCUGUGUCUUUCAAUGUUGCUGGCAGCCAUCUCAGCCAAAUGUCUUCUAUUCUUCCAUUAUUAGCUACACACGCCGUUAAGAAUUGAGACAAAUGUUGAUCUGGAUCCGCACUUGGCAAAUCCCGAAAAGUAGGUAAUGGCGCGACGCUAGUCGUUCGAUCACCCACUGCACCCAUUUGAACUGCAAUCGAAACUGCUGGUCCUCCGGACGUCAUUAAAGAUGCCGGUGUUCCGCUUAAUUUCUUAUUAAAAUAAAAACUGUCUCCCGUAAAAGUCUUUUUUGGACUUCUAGGCCUUCCUGAUUGACUAUUAUUAUCUCCAAAUAAUUUUACUAGUUGAAUAUGAGGUGAAAAUGACAGGUUUUGAUAUACUCUGAAUUGGUCUUUAUUGGCAAGUGAUUUAUGUCAAUCUUCAGAACGAGUCUUGUUAGGAUCGGACGUAUUUCCAAUUGAGAAGAUACCCAAUGGGGUACCUAAUUCCUCUAUGCCUUCUUCGUUUUCCGUUAACGGCUUUGAGAGGUUUGCUGGACUAUUAGCAGCACUCCUUGCGAAUGCUCUUAGCAAUUUCUUUAAUGGUAUGUACUUCUGAAAUAUUAGAGGUCGAUCGUCUUCUGGGUACGAUCGAAUAUGCCAACAGGCAUGCAACGACGACUUAAUCCAACUUUGUUGAUGCUUCUUUUUCAAUUUAUGAUCUCGCUCAUUAUGCAACAAAUUUCUUGCUUGCGAUUGCUCUGUUCUUUCUUUUGAUUGCUUUAUUCUCUUUGCUGUUAAAUUUUCAUUCUUAAUAACCAUACUCUUUCAUUAUUUCUACUGAGUUUGCUUCCUAAUCUCCUUUACUGCUUCGACAGUUAAUUCCUAACACUCAAUAAUGUUGUCAAUCUCUGGCAGCGGUGCAAAAAUGUGAUUGCUCAUUUUACUUAUUCUGGAAGAAACCUCCCAGUAUAAACCCAUAUAGGGGGAUUUGAACACGGGGAAUGACCAUGUAUAUGAGCUCCAAUUGUUAGGAUCAUGUAAUUUACCGCUACUGCUCAAUGCUUACCAUACCGAAGAACACUUAACUUUUCCUCCUACUGUCCAAUCUCUCAUAUCAAUACAAUAACAUCCACGACAACGAUUUCAGUACCCUGUAUAAUUCACGAACAUACAAGCAUAUCUCAAACCCUGGAACGAACAACUUCCAAUCCACAAAAUCUAAUCAAGACAAUUCCUUCGAUUACAAUUCUUCUCCACUAAAUUUUCAACCUUGCGAUAAAUAGUGACUGAAAACUUCCAUACGACCUCAAUCUUUUACAACAAUUGAUAAAUAGUGAUCCAUAAACAACUUUGUAAAUCAAACAUUAAUUCAUUAAAUCGAUUCUCUUUACUAGAAUCAACACUAACACAAAAGAAACAAGAAAACUAAAAAGAAGAGAUAGCACCAAGCUUAUCUCCGGCUCAGUACUAUCGCAGUCUGGCCCUCGGCUUACGACUCUCAUAGUCUGGCAUUUUCUUCCCCUCUCCCAUCCUCCUUAUACUACCCCGAGAUACCAACUCCUAUACUACAGAUGAUAACUACUUUUCCUGACUAUUCAUCCAUUCUACCUGCUGAACCAC
rnacentral:lncRNA from 1 species